AACGCUAGCUACAGGCUUAACACAUGCAAGUCGAGGGGCAGCAUUUUAGUUUGCUUGCAAACUGAAGAUGGCGACCGGCGCACGGGUGAGUAACACGUAUCCAACCUGCCGAUAACUCCGGAAUAGCCUUUCGAAAGAAAGAUUAAUACCGGAUAGCAUACGAAUAUCGCAUGAUAUUUCUAUUAAAGAAUUUCGGUUAUCGAUGGGGAUGCGUUCCAUUAGUUUGUUGGCGGGGUAACGGCCCACCAAGACUACGAUGGAUAGGGGUUCUGAGAGGAAGGUCCCCCACAUUGGAACUGAGACACGGUCCAAACUCCUACGGGAGGCAGCAGUGAGGAAUAUUGGUCAAUGGGCGAGAGCCUGAACCAGCCAAGUAGCGUGAAGGAUGAAGGCUCUAUGGGUCGUAAACUUCUUUUAUAUGGGAAUAAAGUUUUCCACGUGUGGAAUUUUGUAUGUACCAUAUGAAUAAGGAUCGGCUAACUCCGUGCCAGCAGCCGCGGUAAUACGGAGGAUCCGAGCGUUAUCCGGAUUUAUUGGGUUUAAAGGGAGCGUAGGUGGAUUGUUAAGUCAGUUGUGAAAGUUUGCGGCUCAACCGUAAAAUUGCAGUUGAAACUGGCAGUCUUGAGUACAGUAGAGGUGGGCGGAAUUCGUGGUGUAGCGGUGAAAUGCUUAGAUAUCACGAAGAACUCCGAUUG
rnacentral:rRNA from 1 species